AUAUAUUUUAACGAUAUAUUAUAUAUACAUCAUCAAUAACAACUGUACCCAACGCGACACAUAUCUUAAGAUGGCGUGAUUGAAACCGCUUGCAAAGUACGCCUGCGGCGGAUCACCGCCUCAAAAAUCAAUACUUUCAUGUGUCCGCACUGCAGCAUCGGUGCUUGUAAGACAAAAAUCACCGUCAUUAAACAAUUUAUGCAGGAUGAGAUUUAUAAUUUCAAUUUGAAAGACAAAGAGUAGUUUUCUCUUCUUUUACCAUACAAAUCAUCUAUUGAAACUUGAAAGGAGAUAUUAAAAAGUAAGUGACG
rnacentral:lncRNA from 1 species